rnacentral:rRNA from 3 species
AUUCCAGCUCCAAUAGCGUAUAUUAAAGUUGUUGCAGUUAAAAAGCUCGUAGUUGGAUUUGUGGAUGAUCUUGAGGUCCACGUUUUGCGUUGGUACUAUUGAGAUUGUCCAUCCUUGGGUGGAAUCUGUGUGGCAUUAGGUUGUCGUGCAGGGGAUGCCCAUCGUUUACUGUGAAAAAAUUAGAGUGUUCAAAGCAGGCUUAUGCCGCUGAAUAUAUUAGCAUGGAAUAAUGAGAUAGGACUUGGGUGCUAUUUUGUUGGUUUGCGCACCUUGGUAAUGAUUAAUAGGGACAGUUGGGGGUAUUCGUAUUCCAUUGUCAGAGGUGAAAUUCUUGGAUUUCUGGAAGACGAACUACUGCGAAAGCAUUUACCAAGGAUGUUUUC